rnacentral:tRNA from 1 species
GGUCCCGUAGCGCAGGGGCAGGCGCACCGCUACGACAUGGCGGAGGACGCCGGUUCGAAUCCGGCCGGGACCA